UACGUAGGGUGCAAGCGUUGUCCGGAAUUAUUGGGCGUAAAGAGCUCGUAGGCGGUUUGUCGCGUCGGCUGUGAAAACCUAGGGCUCAACCCUGGGCUUGCAGCCGAUACGGGCAAACUAGAAUUCGGUAGGGGAGACUGGAAUUCCUGGUGUAGCGGUGAAAUGCGCAGAUAUCAGGAGGAACACCGGUGGCGAAGGCGGGUCUCUGGACAUUUCCUGACGCUGAGGCACGAAAGCCAGGGGAGCAAACGGG
rnacentral:rRNA from 1 species